CAUGGAGGAAGAAACUGUCUGCUUUCCUGAAGAAGAACCCCCCUCCAGACAUGGAGGAGCUGCUCCAUCUGGCUCAUCUGUCCAGUGUCAUCCCAGAUGGACACGUCCAACAGGCAGGAAAACGCCUGUCCCAGAGGUGUAUGAGUGUGAGGAAACUGAUCAUCUCCUCUGGUCCUGUAGCUGUCGCUCAGCUUCAGUCGGCUCUGCAGUGGCAGUAUGAGCUCCUGCGGGGGGGGCGCUCAUGUCAGUCAGCCUCCUGCCCACAGAGAUGAAGCAUUUCUGGAUGUUCACAGGGACCCCAACUGUAAAAGUCCGUCAGAACUGCGCUGUAGUCCUGACGCUUCCUGGGGCGGUUCAGAGUCCGACUUGACUAACUGUAAACCCAGUCUGGACUCGGCCCCUGUAACCGGGUCUCUUCUGGCGUCGGCUCAGUGUAACCCCGCCUCUCUCACCUCAUUCGACUCGGGCUUUGACGGAGCAGGGAGCAGCCACUUAGAGGGGAUGGAGGGUGUGUCCAGAUCAGGGGGGGGCCGGGACUCUGUGAGACCUGCUUUGAGCCAGACUCAGAUCAAUGAGGAGAACCUGGUGGGGUUGUGGGGUUCUGAGGAUCACACAGACCCGUCCAGUCCCAGUCCCAGGGUCCAGGUGGUCUCUAAAGUGACGGCGGAUUCCCUGAACUUGGAAAUCAAAGUGAAGCGUUCGGCGGCUCCGCCCAAUAACCCCUGGCUCAGUUUACCGGUCGAUGAUUUGGAGAACUCGUACACGGUCACCAUCACACAGAACCCACAACCGCAGCUCGUAGACCCGACGGUCCACGGAACCAGCAGAUGUCGAGACCAGCCCACGCAGACAGAGGUUCUGAAGGACCCCCAGACCACGGACUGUACGUUAUCGUCACAAAGCACUUUAGAGGAUUCUGAACUGAGCCCCAUCCAUGAGGUUCUGUCCAGCACCAUCAGAGACAAGUCCACCUGUACCACAGAGACCACCACCAUGAUCUGGGACUCCUACGACCUGCACGAGCAGUAUGUGGACGGUGUGAGUGACGUGUCCCUGAAGGACUGGGACGUAAAGGAACAGGAGGGUUUGAAGGAGGUGGAGAACAUUCUGGACAGGGCUGACCAGAUACUAGCGGAGGAGGAGAAUGUUCUGGCUCAGGAGGCCAUGCUGGAUGUCCUGCUGAAGGAGGACCGUCCCGGUCACUGGCCCCCGUGGAACGCUGAGGUCCAGCUCUGUGAGAUGUCCUCCUCUGAACUGACUGAAGCCGGUGUUCUGGGCCUGGAGGACUGUCCUGUUCCUGCAGAGCCGCAGACCUUCAGUGAGCACAGAUCUGAGGUGGACGGGCACCGUCAUGAAGAAGGUGGAUGUAACAGCAGGCCGGACCUGCUGACGGAGCUACGCAAAGUCCACGUCCUGGAUGAGCUGAUAGCAGAGGAGAACCUGAAGAUCCAUGAGCUGAGACGCUGCAGUGAACAGGAAACCUCAGGGAGCGGUCCUUCAGAUCCAAACCAAGCAUCCAGUCUGAGUGAGGACAGGCAUGUUUUCAGACUGCAGCUGGAAAAGGAGAGAGAGGAGGUGGAGAAGCUGGAGAGGAGCCUGGAUAAAGAGCAGGAAGAGGAGGUGGAGAAGCUGGAGAGGAGCCUGGAUAAAGAGCAGGAAGAGGAGGUGGAGAAGCUGGAGAGGAGCCUGGAUAAAGAGCAGGAAGAGGAGGUGGAGAAGCUGGAGAGGAGCCUGGAUAAAGAGCAGGAAGAGGAGGUGGAGAAGCUGGAGAGGAGCCUGGAUAAAGAGCAGGAAGAGAAGGAAAAUAAGGAUGGAGCUGGAAGAGAGGGCACAUGUUCUACAGCAGAACAGAAUGAGGAAGAUGCAGCGCUCUGUGGGGAACGUUUUCAGGCUGAAUCCAGUGGUGAUGAUGUGGAUCAGCUGGAAUCUGACACGAAUAAGAGCUUGAACCUGGAAGAUCCUGACUCCGCCCCCAAACUGCCCUCAUUGAAUGAAACUGGAUUGAACAGUGACUCAGACGAGGCGUCUGCAGAGCUGGGGAUCCAUCCACUGGGAUUAGACUCGCUUGGUGAAAAUUCAGCCGUAAGCAGUCCAGAAAGUUCUAGGACACUUGAAACACAACUGAAGGAUGGGGUGUUGACCCGGGUGGUGGAUCAGCCCAGCUUAGGGCUUCACCUCCUCUGAGCAGCAGUGCCACAGAGGAUGAAGCGCCUCAUUCCAUUGAGGUGACCAGUGCAGAUGUGUCCUCAGCUGAUCCCAUUCCCACUCAGUUCACAGACAAACAGCCCCACCCUCCAGACCAGGACCAGGACCACCUCCAGGUUCUCCAUCCAAAUGUGAAGGAACACAGUAACAACAAUAACAACAACAAAAACCUCCAACUGGAGUCAAAAAUGACUUUAGACUCUCCUGACAUCAGCCUAGAUGACACAAAGGGACAGUGGACAGACGAAGGCUCAGCUGGUCCAGAUGCAGGUCCACAUCAGUGUCCUCCUGACUGUCCUCUGGAGUUUGACCCGGGUGGAGGAGGUGGGGUCUGGAUUUCUGAGGCCACCAGGACGUCAGGCAGUGGAAUCCAGACCCAGUUCAACACCAACAUGACACAGAUGACCAGUUUCCAGACCCCCAUCGUCCUGGACACUGGGUCUGGUUGAUGAAAGCUGGAUUUGCAGAUCAGGACCUUCCAAGUGUCAUAUUCC